rnacentral:rRNA from 1 species
GCGUGCCUAAUACAUGCAAGUAGAACGCUGAAGAGAGGAGCUUGCUCUUCUUGGAUGAGUUGCGAACGGGUGAGUAACGCGUAGGUAACCUGCCUUGUAGCGGGGGAUAACUAUUGGAAACGAUAGCUAAUACCGCAUAACAAUGGAUGACACAUGUCAUUUAUUUGAAAGGGGCAAUUGCUCCACUACAAGAUGGACCUGCGUUGUAUUAGCUAGUAGGUGAGGUAAUGGCUCACCUAGGCGACGAUACAUAGCCGACCUGAGAGGGUGAUCGGCCACACUGGGACUGAGACACGGCCCAGACUCCUACGGGAGGCAGCAGUAGGGAAUCUUCGGCAAUGGGGGCAACCCUGACCGAGCAACGCCGCGUGAGUGAAGAAGGUUUUCGGAUCGUAAAGCUCUGUUGUAAGUCAAGAACGGGUGUGAGAGUGGAAAGUUCACACUGUGACGGUAACUUACCAGAAAGGGACGGCUAACUACGUGCCAGCAGCCGCGGUAAUACGUAGGUCCCGAGCGUUGUCCGGAUUUAUUGGGCGUAAAGCGAGCGCAGGCGGUUUGAUAAGUCUGAAGUUAAAGGCUGUGGCUCAACCAUAGUUCGCUUUGGAAACUGUCAAACUUGAGUGCAGAAGGGGAGAGUGGAAUUCCAUGUGUAGCGGUGAAAUGCGUAGAUAUAUGGAGGAACACCGGUGGCGAAAGCGGCUCUCUGGUCUGUAACUGACGCUGAGGCUCGAAAGCGUGGGGAGCGAACAGGAUUAGAUACCCUGGUAGUCCACGCCGUAAACGAUGAGUGCUAGGUGUUGGAUCCUUUCCGGGAUUCAGUGCCGAAGCUCACGCAUUAAGCACUCCGCCUGGGGA